GGGUCUGUAGGUUGGUCGUGCCACCGGUACGUACUGGUCUCACUGAUUCCUCCUUCCUGAAGAGCCGUAAUGCCAUUAAUUUGGUGUUGCGGGGAAACAGGACUGUUACUUUGAAAAAAUUAGAGUGUUUAAAGCAAGCUAACGCUUGAAUACAUUAGCAUGGAAUAAUGAAAUAGGACGAUCGAUCCUAUUUUAUUGGUUUCUAGGAUUGACGUA
rnacentral:rRNA from 1 species